rnacentral:pre_miRNA from 1 species
CUUACAGAGUUCAUUGGCAUUCUGUCCACCUCCUGAUCAUCUUCAUAGAAAUUAAAAUAUGAUCUUUAAUUAAUUUCUUUCACUUGUCAUCUUUCAUGGAGGUGGGCAUACUGCCAACAGUGCUCUGUUGG